rnacentral:lncRNA from 1 species
GACUACCAUGUUUCUUUGCUUAAACUCAAGGAAUUCAAUCUCCUUCUUGCUACCGCACAUCCUCGAGAAAGUACUUUUCAAGGAAUUGCACCUUAAACACAACAUAAGUGAUCUCAGCAUCAAUAACCUCUAGUCUAUGUCAUGCAUUGUCCCACUAGUCUUUAGCUUCCUCAUAUAACAUAUAAGUCCCAAACAAUAUGUUUGGUUCCUCAGUACAUGUCAUCACUCUGAAAAUCUUAUCGAUUUAUC